rnacentral:rRNA from 2 species
CCGAAGCCGGUGGCUUAACCCCUUGUGGGAGGGAGCCGUCGAAGGUGGGAUCGGCGAUUGGGACGAAGUCGUAACAAGGUAGCCGUACCGGAAGGUGCGGCUGGAUCACCUCCUUU